rfam:Brachypodium distachyon strain Bd21 chromosome 1, whole genome shotgun sequence.
CUACUACUCCCUCCGUCCAACAAAAGAUGUCUCAGGUUUGUCAAAAUUUGGAUGUAUAUAGACAUGACUUAGUUUAUAGAUGCAUUCAAAUUUAGUCAAAGUUGAGACAUUUUUUGUUGGACGGAGGAAUAGUAAACU